GAAUGCUGACAUAAGUAACGAUAAAGCGGGUGAAAAGCCCGCUCGCCGGAAGACCAAGGGUUCCUGUCCAACGUUAAUCGGGGCAGGGUGAGUCGACCCCUAAGGCGAGGCCGAAAGGCGUAGUCGAUGGGAAACAGGUUAAUAUUCCUGUACUUGGUGUUACUGCGAAGGGGGGACGGAGAAGGCUAUGUUGGCCGGGCGACGGUUGUCCCGGUUUAAGCGUGUAGGCUGGUUUUCCAGGCAAAUCCGGAAAAUCAAGGCUGAGGCGUGAUGACGAGGCACUACGGUGCUGAAGCAACAAAUGCCCUGCUUCCAGGAAAAGCCUCUAAGCAUCAGGUAACAUCAAAUCGUACCCCAAACCGACACAGGUGGUCAGGUAGAGAAUACCAAGGCGCUUGAGAGAACUCGGGUGAAGGAACUAGGCAAAAUGGUGCCGUAACUUCGGGAGAAGGCACGCUGAUAUGUAGGUGAAGCGACUUGCUCGUGGAGCUGAAAUCAGUCGAAGAUACCAGCUGGCUGCAACUGUUUAUUAAAAACACAGCACUGUGCAAACACGAAAGUGGACGUAUACGGUGUGACGCCUGCCCGGUGCCGGAAGGUUAAUUGAUGGGGUUAGCGGUAACGCGAAGCUCUUGAUCGAAGCCCCGGUAAACGGCGGCCGUAACUAUAACGGUCCUAAGGUAGCGAAAUUCCUUGUCGGGUAAGUUCCGACCUGCACGAAUGGCGUAAUGAUGGCCAGGCUGUCUCCACCCGAGACUCAGUGAAAUUGAACUCGCUGUGAAGAUGCAGUGUACCCGCGGCAAGACGGAAAGACCCCGUGAACCUUUACUAUAGCUUGACACUGAACAUUGAGCCUUGAUGUGUAGGAUAGGUGGGAGGCUUUGAAGUGUGGACGCCAGUCUGCAUGGAGCCGACCUUGAAAUACCACCCUUUAAUGUUUGAUGUUCUAACGUUGGCCCGUUAUCCGGGUUGCGGACAGUGUCUGGUGGGUAGUUUGACUGGGGCGGUCUCCUCCUAAAGAGUAACGGAGGAGCACGAAGGUUGGCUAAUCCUGGUCGGACAUCAGGAGGUUAGUGCAAUGGCAUAAGCCAGCUUGACUGCGAGCGUGACGGCGCGAGCAGGUGCGAAAGCAGGUCAUAGUGAUCCGGUGGUUCUGAAUGGAAGGGCCAUCGCUCAACGGAUAAAAGGUACUCCGGGGAUAACAGGCUGAUACCGCCCAAGAGUUCAUAUCGACGGCGGUGUUUGGCACCUCGAUGUCGGCUCAUCACAUCCUGGGGCUGAAGUAGGUCCCAAGGGUAUGGCUGUUCGCCAUUUAAAGUGGUACGCGAGCUGGGUUUAGAACGUCGUGAGACAGUUCGGUCCCUAUCUGCCGUGGGCGCUGGAGAACUGAGGGGGGCUGCUCCUAGUACGAGAGGACCGGAGUGGACGCAUCACUGGUGUUCGGGUUGUCAUGCCAAUGGCACUGCCCGGUAGCUAAAUGCGGAAGAGAUAAGUGCUGAAAGCAUCUAAGCACGAAACUUGCCCCGAGAUGAGUUCUCCCUGACUCCCUGAGAGUCCUGAAGGAACGUUGAAGACGACGACGUUGAUAGGCCGGGUGUGUAAGCGCAGCGAUGCGUUGAGCUAACCGGUACUAAUGAACCGUGAGGCUUAACCUU
rnacentral:rRNA from 1 species